GAACGCCAGGGUCUGAAGGUUCCAGGCUGGGACCCAGGUGGCUGAGGAUCGGAACAACGUGGCUUCGCGCCCUCCCCAGGCCUGCUUCGCCGGAGUCUCUGGCACCUCCGAGUUCCGAGCGCUGUGCGCUCAGGGCCACUGACGCGGGAACAGAGGGGUGGCCUCAGCCCGGGCCUGCGGGGCCCCAGGGCCACUCGGACCCCCAGCGCGGAUGGGAGCGGCGCUGCGCCCUCGGGGCAACACCCAAGGCUGGGUUCUGGGAUGUAUUGGGCAGGAUUAGGGCCGCAGUAUUUUCUUCCUUUUUUUUUUUUUUUUUCUCCAAUAGCAAAAGAGCUCGGCAUUUUCUUGCCGCCAGAGAUUGGAAACAUGACAUAUUUCUCUGACACAGACGGUGAGAUAAAGACGGAUCCGAACUGGGCCUGGGGCUACUCAUCCGUGCGGAAAAUUAGGCGAGUCUUUAAGGUCUUGGAGCCCAGGCCUCCUUUUCCCUAGAAGAGGCACCAAUUCUUAGGACACUUGUCUGUCUAUGGGCGCUCAAGCCGCUGGCCGCUCCACGGUGUUUAGGUGCUCUCUGGGCAAGUUCACCACCGGGCAUCAGAAGGCUGAGCCUAACGUAAUCAGAUUCUGGGGGGAGAGAGGGCGGGGCCUUCCCGGGGAUCUCAAGGCCAUGUCCACAGCCCUUGGCCCUGGGGCUCAAGGACUGGGCAGCUGAGGGUUAACGCCGCGUGCCGAGUGCUUCCAUUGUGGCUUUUCGAUUCCAGGCAGGUGAGGGUUAAUGUGGGAGCCUCACGCUGCAGCGUGUGAGCCUCCCUCCACAUCUGAGUCACUGGCACUUUGCAGCCUUAGAGGGGCCGAGACUAAACAGCCCGGGGGCUCUGAGCUUUGUUCUCUGCCUGCUUGUCACCCAUCCAUCCUUCCUUUCUCUAAGCUCUCCUCACCUUUCUUCCAUGGAAGCCAUCAAAGCCCUCUGCCCAGCUCUGGGGCAAACCAACCUAUCAACCCAACUCCAGCCCCACGUCCUCCAGGAAGCCUUUCCUGAUUGCUCAGAAUCUGUCUCUUGUCUUUCCAGCGGCAGGAGAGCCAGGCACUGGAAUGGACAGUGGUGAACAAAAGCAGACGGUCUCUCUCAAGUUGCUCACCUGUGGGGGCCAUGACCAGGACCCAGGCAAUCACAUCGCCAUAUGAAAUGUGCAAAGGUUGGAGAUAGGGUGGCACAGAAGACCCAACUCAGCCAUGGGAGUCAGCGAGGCUUCCUUUAAGAGACCUGAAGGAUGAGAUAGUUGGGCCUGUCAAGGAAGAUACUGGAUCUCUAGCCAAGGAGGCAGAGUGCAAAGGCCAGGAGUCACAGCAAUUCCACUCCUAGAUAUGUACCCAGCAGCAAUGAAAACAUAUGGCCACACAAAACUUGUACACAAAUGUACAUAGCAGCAUGAUUCAUAAUAGCCAAAAAGUGGAAACCACCCAAAUGUCCAUCCACUGAUGAAUGGAAAAACAAAAUGUUGUAUAUCCACACAACACAGAAUAUUAUUCAGCCAUAGAAAGGUGUGAAGUACUGGCCAGUUGUGGUGGCUCACA
ensembl:lncRNA